UAAGAGGUGUGUUUAGUAGGUGAGUC
rnacentral:piRNA from 1 species